rnacentral:rRNA from 1 species
UUGCUAGUAAUCGUGGAUCAGCAUGCCACGGUGAAUACGUUCCCGGGUCUUGUACACACCGCCCGUCACACCAUGGGAGCCGGUAAUACCCGAAGUCAGUAGUCUAACCGCAAGGAGGACGCUGCCGAAGGUAGGAUUGGCGACUGGGGUGAAGUCGUAACAAGGUAAC